rnacentral:snRNA from 1 species
GUGCUCGCUUCGCCAGCACAUAUACUAAAAUUGGAACGAUACAGAGAUUAGCAUGGCCCCUGCGCAAGGAUGGCACGCAAAUUCAUGAAGCGUUCCAUAUUUUU